rnacentral:rRNA from 1 species
GUUAAGCGACUAAGCGUACACGGUGGAUGCCCUGGCAGUCAGAGGCGAUGAAGGACGUGCUAAUCUGCGAUAAGCGUCGGUAAGGUGAUAUGAACCGUUAUAACCGGCGAUUUCCGAAUGGGGAAACCCAGUGUGAUUCGUCACACUAUCAUUAACUGAAUCCAUAGGUUAAUGAGGCGAACCGGGGGAACUGAAACAUCUAAGUACCCCGAGGAAAAGAAAUCAACCGAGAUUCCCCCAGUAGCGGCGAGCGAACGGGGAGCAGCCCAGAGCCUGAAUCAGUGUGUGUGUUAGUGGAAGCGUCUGGAAAGGCGCGCGAUACAGGGUGACAGCCCCGUACACAAAAAUGCACAUGCUGUGAGCUCGAUGAGUAGGGCGGGACACGUGGUAUCCUGUCUGAAUAUGGGGGGACCAUCCUCCAAGGCUAAAUACUCCUGACUGACCGAUAGUGAACCAGUACCGUGAGGGAAAGGCGAAAAGAACCCCGGCGAGGGGAGUGAAAAAGAACCUGAAACCGUGUACGUACAAGCAGUGGGAGCACGCUUAGGCGUGUGACUGCGUACCUUUUGUAUAAUGGGUCAGCGACUUAUAUUCUGUAGCAAGGUUAACCGAAUAGGGGAGCCGAAGGGAAACCGAGUCUUAACUGGGCGUUAAGUUGCAGGGUAUAGACCCGAAACCCGGUGAUCUAGCCAUGGGCAGGUUGAAGGUUGGGUAACACUAACUGGAGGACCGAACCGACUAAUGUUGAAAAAUUAGCGGAUGACUUGUGGCUGGGGGUGAAAGGCCAAUCAAACCGGGAGAUAGCUGGUUCUCCCCGAAAGCUAUUUAGGUAGCGCCUCGUGAAUUCAUCUCCGGGGGUAGAGCACUGUUUCGGCAAGGGGGUCAUCCCGACUUACCAACCCGAUGCAAACUGCGAAUACCGGAGAAUGUUAUCACGGGAGACACACGGCGGGUGCUAACGUCCGUCGUGAAGAGGGAAACAACCCAGACCGCCAGCUAAGGUCCCAAAGUCAUGGUUAAGUGGGAAACGAUGUGGGAAGGCCCAGACAGCCAGGAUGUUGGCUUAGAAGCAGCCAUCAUUUAAAGAAAGCGUAAUAGCUCACUGGUCGAGUCGGCCUGCGCGGAAGAUGUAACGGGGCUAAACCAUGCACCGAAGCUGCGGCAGCGACACUGUGUGUUGUUGGGUAGGGGAGCGUUCUGUAAGCCUGCGAAGGUGUGCUGUGAGGCAUGCUGGAGGUAUCAGAAGUGCGAAUGCUGACAUAAGUAACGAUAAAGCGGGUGAAAAGCCCGCUCGCCGGAAGACCAAGGGUUCCUGUCCAACGUUAAUCGGGGCAGGGUGAGUCGACCCCUAAGGCGAGGCCGAAAGGCGUAGUCGAUGGGAAACAGGUUAAUAUUCCUGUACUUGGUGUUACUGCGAAGGGGGGACGGAGAAGGCUAUGUUGGCCGGGCGACGGUUGUCCCGGUUUAAGCGUGUAGGCUGGUUUUCCAGGCAAAUCCGGAAAAUCAAGGCUGAGGCGUGAUGACGAGGCACUACGGUGCUGAAGCAACAAAUGCCCUGCUUCCAGGAAAAGCCUCUAAGCAUCAGGUAACAUCAAAUCGUACCCCAAACCGACACAGGUGGUCAGGUAGAGAAUACCAAGGCGCUUGAGAGAACUCGGGUGAAGGAACUAGGCAAAAUGGUGCCGUAACUUCGGGAGAAGGCACGCUGAUACGUAGGUGAAGUCCCUCGCGGAUGGAGCUGAAAUCAGUCGAAGAUACCAGCUGGCUGCAACUGUUUAUUAAAAACACAGCACUGUGCAAACACGAAAGUGGACGUAUACGGUGUGACGCCUGCCCGGUGCCGGAAGGUUAAUUGAUGGGGUCAGCGCAAGCGAAGCUCUUGAUCGAAGCCCCGGUAAACGGCGGCCGUAACUAUAACGGUCCUAAGGUAGCGAAAUUCCUUGUCGGGUAAGUUCCGACCUGCACGAAUGGCGUAAUGAUGGCCAGGCUGUCUCCACCCGAGACUCAGUGAAAUUGAACUCGCUGUGAAGAUGCAGUGUACCCGCGGCAAGACGGAAAGACCCCGUGAACCUUUACUAUAGCUUGACACUGAACAUUGAGCCUUGAUGUGUAGGAUAGGUGGGAGGCUUUGAAGUGUGGACGCCAGUCUGCAUGGAGCCGACCUUGAAAUACCACCCUUUAAUGUUUGAUGUUCUAACGUUGACCCGUGAUCCGGGUUGCGGACAGUGUCUGGUGGGUAGUUUGACUGGGGCGGUCUCCUCCUAAAGAGUAACGGAGGAGCACGAAGGUUGGCUAAUCCUGGUCGGACAUCAGGAGGUUAGUGCAAUGGCAUAAGCCAGCUUGACUGCGAGCGUGACGGCGCGAGCAGGUGCGAAAGCAGGUCAUAGUGAUCCGGUGGUUCUGAAUGGAAGGGCCAUCGCUCAACGGAUAAAAGGUACUCCGGGGAUAACAGGCUGAUACCGCCCAAGAGUUCAUAUCGACGGCGGUGUUUGGCACCUCGAUGUCGGCUCAUCACAUCCUGGGGCUGAAGUAGGUCCCAAGGGUAUGGCUGUUCGCCAUUUAAAGUGGUACGCGAGCUGGGUUUAGAACGUCGUGAGACAGUUCGGUCCCUA